rnacentral:lncRNA from 1 species
GUCAACAAAAUUCUUUUUGCUAUGAAGUAAUUUACUUAAGAGAUAUUGAAUAAUACUUAUAACUUUAUGAAGUGUGUUUUACACUUUGUAAGUGCUACAAACCAUUUAAUUAUUUAUAGAAGAGCAUGAAUUUAUACAAUAAAAGAGAUCAAAUUUUGCAAACAAAGAAGAAGAAAUAUGGUUGGAAUUAUUAAGCUUCGCUACAUUAUGAUUAUAUUUCUUUCCUUAUUUCUUGUUGCAGCAAAAGUUGAUGAUGGUAAGUCAUUAUUUCAUGAUUUUCAAAUUUAUUUCUUUAAUUGAUAGUUCUUACACAAUAUAUUAUUACAUUUUAGUAAUUUUAAUUUAGUUUUUUCUUACAGAUUAUUAUGAACCAUAUUGUGAAAUUGAUUCGGAUUGUCUUCAAGUAUGGAACACAUACUAUGUUUGUAAGUGCAUUAAUGAAAGAUGUAAAUGGGUUAAAAGAGACCCUUGAAUGUACCAAAACACCUUAUGUAGGAGAAUAUGUUGUUGUGAUAGCAGGAAAAAAAAUGUGCAACAUACCUUAUGAAAGAAUAUUUCUUGAAUUUGUGAUUUUGCACGUUAAGAUGUUAAUUAGAUAUAACACAUUUCUUGAAUUUAUGAUUUUGCACGUUAAGAUGUUAAUUAGAUAUAACACAUAGUAUUAUUUAGA